CUCUGAGACAGCUCCGAAAUCUUGUGAUUCGGAAGACGAGACAACAUUGUCAACAGUUCCAAGGUGACCCAAGUACGCGGAAAUACGGAGAAUAUCAAAGUGUCACAUACGCAGAAGAUUCAGAACUCAUAUCGACUCCAAAAAAAUUGAGGUUGCUUCAAGAGAUUGAAGGUGAAGUAGAAGAAAGUGGAAUAACUGUAGAAACUCCUCUUAUUGCCAGCAUACCGACGGCGGUGCAGCAGUGGACAGAUCACAGGAAAGAAGGACUACGAUUAUCUACGCCAGUUUGAACCACAGUCCUUCCACUUUUAAGACUUGAAUUGAAAACUUCAGAUUCUAUUGGAUUCGGGUGGAGUGAAUACUAGCCCGAAAUGAGAGAGAAAGAAAAAGAGGGGAAAAAAAGAACUCGAUAAAAAUGGCGACCAAACGAAGAAAAAGUCAAUCAGAUUGAAAAGCAGACGAGGGAUAAAACUAGAUACCUCUAAAGAAUGGCGGAUCAAUCGUACAGAUGGCACAGUUAGAUCUUCGAUAAUAGUUCCUUUGAUGGAGAAAGUUCCGACAGAUGGUCGCCAUGUUCCACUCAUUUAGCAAAAGGAAUCACAACAUUUCGCUUUUAUUUGCUUAGUAAUUUCAACAUCAGCUUUUGAAAUGCUUUACAGGCUGUUCUCAGAAAUAAAAGGGAAUCUUUUUUUUAUUAAAUAUAAUGAGAAAUCGAGACUGGUUUUAAUUUGCAUACCACACUUUGUGCAUAUUUUUAAGAAUAUUCAUUCACCUAAGCUUUUUGAAAUUUCAUUCUACUGCUACUCAACGGCGUUUCAGAUUGUUUGCAUCAAUAAAAUAUAAAUUACAGAUAUCAUACUUAUGAAAUUAAUGCUAAUGUUGUAAGCUGAAAAAAUACUCAUAGGAGCUAUCAUAACAGAAAGAUGCAUUCAGGUUUCCAAAAAAAAUGAAUUUAUCAAAAAUCUAACUUACGCAGACAUGUAUGUUAAAGUAUGAAUGUUUAAACGUUUGUUAAAAAUAAAUAAUACAGGAAGCUAAUUCGAAUAUUGCUUGCACUAAACUGUGAACAGUUCACUGAUGUGCGACAUAAUAUAUGAAAUGAAUUAGCAGUUAUUUGUCUGAUUAUCAAAAUUCUUUCGACAGCUAACAUAGUAAAUUGAUAUUUUUGCGUCUAUCCUAUCUUUCCUUUCAAUUUAAAAUGGUUAGGUUAUGAUUUUUUCAAAAAAAUAGCAUGAAAUAUUUCUUUAAUUGCAAUAUAUAUCGCAUUGGGCAAAAUGCAAUUAUUUAAAAUACUGAUGAGAAGAAUCUGAAUCAUAAAAGUUAACAGUUAUCACAUACGAAUAAUAUAUACCAAUGUUAAAAUGAUUUGUAAUCUUAAGUGAAAGAUUUAAAUCUGGGAUUAUACUAAAAAUUCUAUGUCAAAAACAUUUUUGAACAGUUCAGUGUUUUUCAUAAAAUUGUUAAAAGCAAUUCGGUCUAAAAAGCAAAUUAUACUCCAGUCUCGUAAAUAAAAUAUUUUCCAGCAACAGUAUUUGCUAUUCCUUAUCUUUAUUUUUGAUAAUUUAAUUGAAUAAUUUACUAGAACAUUUCCAAACUGUCAAAGGAGCAAACAUGAAUGUUGCCUACUUUUUUUAAGUGUGCUUGGAAGUAUUAUCUUUUUAUCAAUUUAACUUAUUAUUUCCCGACGCUGAAAAUUAACUUAAUUACUAGAAUCAUGAAAUUACAGCAUAAAAACAUUUUCGAAUUAACCAUAUUAAAAAGAUUUUCACGGAAUUCUUUCUUGAGAUAUUGCUUGGUGAAUUCUUAAUGACCCGCAAAGCCAAGCACACUAAAAAACAUUCAUUUUUUUAAAAACCUUUAAGUCGAGAUAAGACGUCAGCUUUCUUAUUUAUGGCACUCUAAGUUAAGUGAAAGUACUUUUUUCUACUUUUUUAAAGUAAAGCAAGCAUGCUACUCUUCUAGAAGUAUAAAAAUACAAAGAUUGCUUAGUAAUGAAUAUUUUAUAAUUUUUAUUUGCUGCUUAUAAAUAAGCACUCAAAAUUUCUCUGAAACGAAAUUAUAAUGAACUAACAUGUUAUGACUUAUUAUAAUUAGGUAUUUAGAAGUGCAAUUUUCCGAAUAAUAAUAAUAAUAAUCUAACUGUUCUUGGUUUGAAUGAUAUCAACUGCAAAAGCUACUUCUCAGCUAAAAGUUUUUAAGUACUUUGGCCUUGUGUUUGGCCUUUGUUUAAUAACUAGUAAGUUAAUUAAGCAAACGUAUUUAAUAUUAUUUAUUUUGAGAGUACGUAUUUGAAUUUAACCGCCUGUAUUUAUGUUACACAUCAAGAACACAUUAAAAAUAUUUUAGAGGAAAUCUGUUCCUGCGAUUCGAAUGGUAUUUCAAAUUACCAGUGCUCAAUGAUCUUAUACACUUAUUGGCUGGUGAUGAUUGAUGGGUAAGGUUUAACAUCGAAAUUUUGCAUCAGUAUAAUUUUCCGUAAACCUGACUAAUUUAAAACAGUUUUGUGAAUAAAAUAAUAUUCUCCAAAGGUUAUCACCUACAUCUUAUUCAGUUUCAAAAUAAAGAUUUCCUUCAAUUAAAGAUAAGUAAAAUACUAACUACUAAUAAAUUAGCAUAUUUUAAUUUAUUAAAACUUAAUUAUACAGAAAAGUAAAAGGCAGAUUUUCUUUAAAAUAGCAAAUGAGAUAUAGCAUUAUAAAUUGCUAUAAUAGUUCAUUAUUAUGCCAAAAGUAUUGUACACUUUUUCCUUAAAAUUCACAUUAAAUCAAGUGAAAUUAAACACAUUUUCAGAUCAGUAAUAUCAGUUGAAGAGCAUGAACCUCUUGUUUCUAGAGAAGAAAAGGGUAGAAGAGAUAUAAUGUAUCUGUCAGCCAUGUAAUAUAAAAACUCUCUUUUCAGCGAGUUUAAAUAUGUCCCCCCAAAAAAUACAUCUUACAGCCAAAGAAAGUACGUGAAAGACAAUAUAUCUUUACAGUCAAUGUAAACACAUUAAUACCGAAUUACGAGAUAAGGAAAAAAUAAAUAAAUUGUGUUAUCUACUGACUUAUAUAUAAUGAUCUCAGAAAAAAUAAGUUUAUAAUAAUAAACGCCGCUUCAAUGAAAUGUGAUAUAUGUUUGAACAAGUAAAUGUGUAACACUUUGUUUACGUGUUUUUCCUGUUUAAUGCAUUUGAAAGAAUGGUCUAUUGCAGUUUGCUAUUAUAACAAAAGUGUUUGGCAAGAACUGAUAUAUAUAUAUAUGAACUGUUUGAAAGAAACAGAUAUGUAUGCUGGCCGUUUCUACUGUCAUUAUUUAUGAUGUAUAUAAGAAAUUUAAUUACAAAUAAACCUGUUAUAAAUCACUGUGUUCUGCAUGUUUCUUAAAGAAAAAGGAUGAAUGCAGUUUUUUGGACUUUAAUAGUAUUACAA